rnacentral:rRNA from 1 species
AACGAACGCUGGCGGCAGGCUUAACACAUGCAAGUCGAGCGCCCCGCAAGGGGAGCGGCAGAAGGGUGAGUAACGCGUGGGAACGUACCUUUUGGUUCGGAACAACUCCGGGAAACUGGAGCUAAUACCGGAUAAGCCCUAACGGGGAACGAUUUAUCGCCGAAAGAUCGGCCCGCGUCUGAUUAGCUAGUUGGUGAGGUAACGGCUCACCAAGGCGACGAUCAGUAGCUGGUCUGAGAGGAUGAUCAGCCACACUGGGACUGAGACACGGCCCAGACUCCUACGGGAGGCAGCAGUGGGGAAUAUUGGACAAUGGGCGCAAGCCUGAUCCAGCCAUGCCGCGUGAGUGAUGAAGGCCUUAGGGUUGUAAAGCUCUUUUGUCCGGGAAGAUAAUGACGGUACCGGAAGAAUAAGCCCCGGCUAACUUCGUG